AGUCCUAUAGGGUAGUGGCCAAUCCUAUCGGCUUCUGGGGCCGAUGACGCUGGUUCGAAUCCAGCUAGGACUA
rnacentral:tRNA from 2 species